rnacentral:rRNA from 1 species
GAUGAACGCUGGCGGCGUGCCUAAUACAUGCAAGUCGAGCGAAGCGGGGACGGGUGAGUACAACGUGGAUAACCUCCUAUAAGACUGGGAUAACUUCGGGAAACCGGAGCUAAACCGGAAAAGUAUAGAUGGAUCCGCGCUGCAUUAGCUAGUUGGUAAGGUAACGGCUUACCAAGGCAACUAUGCCUAGCCGACCUGAUAGGGUGAUCGGCCACUAGGGAACUGAGAACAGGUCCAGACUCCUCCGGGAGGCAGCAGUAGGGAAGCUUCCGCAAUGGGCGAAAGCCUGACGGAGCAACGCCGCGUGAGUGAUGAAGGUCUUCGGAUCGUAAAACUUUGUUAUUAGGGAAGCGGUACCUAAUCAGAAAGCCACGGCUAACUACGUGCCAGCAGCCGCGGUAAUAC